rnacentral:ncRNA from 2 species
UACUUAUCCAGAAAGCCUGAGACAUGGGGUCUAUGAAGGCUUGGCAACCGUUCCACCCGCAAGGAAAAUGGUGCCAAAUCCCCCUCAAAACUUGUUUUGAGAAAGAUAAGUG